rnacentral:rRNA from 1 species
AUUGAACGCUGGCGGCAUGCCUUACACAUGCAAGUCGAACGGCAGCGGGGGAGAAGCUUGCUUUUCCUGCCGGCGAGUGGCGAACGGGUGAGUAAUACAUCGGAACGUGCCCUGUAGUGGGGGAUAACUAGUCGAAAGAUUAGCUAAUACCGCAUACGACCUGAGGGUGAAAGUGGGGGACCGCAAGGCCUCAUGCUAUAGGAGCGGCCGAUGUCUGAUUAGCUAGUUGGUGGGGUAAAGGCCUACCAAGGCGACGAUCAGUAGCUGGUCUGAGAGGACGAUCAGCCACACUGGGACUGAGACACGGCCCAGACUCCUACGGGAGGCAGCAGUGGGGAAUUUUGGACAAUGGGUGAAAGCCUGAUCCAGCAAUGCCGCGUGUGUGAAGAAGGCCUUCGGGUUGUAAAGCACUUUUGUCCGGAAAGAGAUGGCUCUGGUUAAUACCUGGGGUCGAUGACGGUACCGGAAGAAUAAGGACCGGCUAACUACGUGCCAGCCGCCGCAGUAA